AAAGACCCGAGUUUCCAGACUUGUCAACACCCAGUCCUGCAGUUACUAUCUGACCUCCAGCUAAACCACUCUGCUCCUCCACACCCUCCUGAGUAAACCCAGUUUAAGCUCAAGUUCCGGAGGACAAUUCCAUUAACAUCCGCCUCAUGUUACUCCCAACACGAGACCACCCAACAUGGCUAAUCUGAGGAGGCAGACAUGUCGUCUGAUUAAUGUCGGCGCAGGUUUACUUUCUCAGCUUUGUCUCUCGGUGCUGAGCCCGUUCCUGUGAGCGUCCAUUCGCACAGAGCUCACACAGGCCGGCCUUCCUCCUGAGGUAAUUAUGACCACAGCUUGCAUGGAGGCAUAUCAUUAGCAGUAAUUGCACACAGCAUCCCUCUGCCAUGUGCCUCCCUGUUUUUUUUUGUCCCAGAUUUAGACUGCACUGAACCAUGAAGGAGCAGAGUUUCUGGGUGUUAUACAGG